rnacentral:misc_RNA from 1 species
GAACGCACAUUGCGCCCUCUGGUAUUCCGGGGGGCAUGCCUGUUCGAGCGUCAUUACACCACUCAAGCUCUGCUUGGUAUUGGAGGCCAUCCCCCCGGGGGUGCCCCCGAAAAACAGCGGCGAAGCGGCCGGAUUCUCUAGCGCAGUGACUUACAUCUCGCUACACGAAGACGACGUUUUUGCCGGAUAACCAACAAAUUUUAUAAAGGUUGACCUCGGAUCAGGUAGGGAUACCCGCUGAACUUAA